AGAGUUUGAUCAUGGCUCAGGACGAACGCUGGCGGCGUGCCUAAUACAUGCAAGUCGGACGCUUUUUCUUUCACCGGAGCUUGCUCCACCGAAAGAAAAGGAGUGGCGAACGGGUGAGUAACACGUGGGUAACCUGCCCAUCAGAAGGGGAUAACACUUGGAAACAGGUGCUAAUACCGUAUAACAAUCGAAACCGCAUGGUUUCGGUUUGAAAGGCGCUUUUGCGUCACUGAUGGAUGGGCCCGCGGUGCAUUAGCUAGUUGGUGAGGUAACGGCUCACCAAGGCAACGAUGCAUAGCCGACCUGAGAGGGUGAUCGGCCACAUUGGGACUGAGACACGGCCCAAACUCCUACGGGAGGCAGCAGUAGGGAAUCUUCGGCAAUGGACGCAAGUCUGACCGAGCAACGCCGCGUGAGUGAAGAAGGUUUUCGGAUCGUAAAACUCUGUUGUUAGAGAAGAACAAGGAUGAGAGUAAAAUGUUCAUCCCUUGACGGUAUCUAACCAGAAAGCCACGGCUAACUACGUGCCAGCAGCCGCGGUAAUACGUAGGUGGCAAGCGUUGUCCGGAUUUAUUGGGCGUAAAGCGAGCGCAGGCGGUUUCUUAAGUCUGAUGUGAAAGCCCCCGGCUCAACCGGGGAGGGUCAUUGGAAACUGGGAAACUUGAGUGCAGAAGAGGAGAGUGGAAUUCCACGUGUAGCGGUGAAAUGCGUAGAUAUAUGGAGGAACACCAGUGGCGAAGGCGGCUCUCUGGUCUGUAACUGACGCUGAGGCUCGAAAGCGUGGGGAGCAAACAGGAUUAGAUACCCUGGUAGUCCACGCCGUAAACGAUGAGUGCUAAGUGUUGGAGGGUUUCCGCCCUUCAGUGCUGCAGCU
rnacentral:rRNA from 1 species